CUUCUCUUUAUGGAGGGGCCUCACCCUUGGUCUCCAGGCCUGACCUCUCUUGAAAGGGUCAGGCUUGCCUUUCCGACGGCCCACUGCACAGGUCCGCAAGAUCUCCUACAGGACCCCCACAGGCACGAGUCCAAAGCUGAAUGAGAAAAUAUCUGUGAAAGGUACAGGCCAUCAUGGUGCGGCUGUCAAGACCAAAGGGGAGGCUCCACCCUGGGCCCAGUGCACUGUCAACUUUUCCUGCACAGACGGAAUCUUUUUUUCCUAGCAACUUUACUUUCUUUUAGUGUUACAAAGUGCCAUGAAG
rnacentral:lncRNA from 1 species